ACUGAACGCUGGCGGCAGGCUUAACACAUGCAAGUCGAGCGGGGUGAUGGUGCUUGCACUAUCACUUAGCGGCGGACGGGUGAGUAAUGCUUAGGAAUCUGCCUAUUAGUGGGGGACAACAUCUCGAAAGGGAUGCUAAUACCGCAUACGUCCUACGGGAGAAAGCCGGGGAUCACUUGUGACCUUGCGCUAAUAGAUGAGCCUAAGGCGGAUUAGCUAGUUGGUGGGGUAAAGGCCUACCAAGGCGACGAUCUGUAGCGGGUCUGAGAGGAUGAUCCGCCACACUGGGACUGAGACACGGCCCAGACUCCUACGGGAGGCAGCGGUGGGGAAUAUUGGACAAUGGGGGGAACCCUGAUCCAGCCAUGCCGCGUGUGUGAAGAAGGCCUUAUGGUUGUAAAGCACUUUAAGCGAGGAGGAGGCCCUUUUGGUUAAUACCCAAGAUGAGUGGACGUUACUCGCAGAAUAAGCACCGGCUAACUCUGUGCCAGCCGCCGCAGUAA
rnacentral:rRNA from 1 species